rnacentral:piRNA from 1 species
UUGCAACGUGCCGAAGUGUCAGCUCCUGC